rnacentral:tRNA from 3 species
CCCGGUCGUGGUGGCCGGUAACGAGCACUGGUCGGGCUUCCGUCCCGACCGGAUCAAGGCGCUGAGCUCGGUCGCGGCGACCGCGU